ensembl:lncRNA
GGAAAAUCAAGAAUAUGGAAAGGGCAAAGAAGAGCUUGCUCCAAGUCCCAAGGUGACCUGUGGACAUAGAAGCAAGAGAGAUUUAGAGGGAAAUGAUUCUUCUGUCCCCCACUGCCAUGUCAGCUGGCUCUCAGAAGCAGACUACUACUAAAGGGUCAGGAGUCCAAAACUCAGACUUUCCAGGCUGCAAAUCAGGAUGACAGAGGCAAGGUCUAGUUGCUAUUAAGAAAAAAGAAGAAUGAGAAGAAGAAAUAUGGAAAUAUAUCGCUCAGAAAGUAAAAGCCCUCACUUCUCACCUCCCCAAGGUAAUACCCACUAACUGUUAUACCUUCAUUACUGUGUUGUAACACAUAUUAGGUUUCUCUUAAAUAGAG